UACGGAGGGUGCAAGCGUUAAUCGGAAUUACUGGGCGUAAAGCGUGCGUAGGUGGUUUGUUAAGUCCGUUGUGAAAGCCCCGAGCUCAACUUGGGAAUUGCAGUGGAUACUGGCAAGCUGGAGUGCGGUAGAGGAAGGUGGAAUUUCCGGUGUAGCGGUGAAAUGCGUAGAUAUCGGAAGGAACACCUGUGGCGAAAGCGGCUCACUGGACCACAACUGACGCUGAGGCGCGAAAGCUAGGGGAGCAACAGG
rnacentral:rRNA from 1 species